UACGUAGGUGGCAAGCGUUGUCCGGAUUUACUGGGCGUAAAGCGCGCGCAGGCGGACUGAUCAGUCUGGGGUGAAAUCUCCCGGCUCAACUGGGAGGGGUCUUCGGAUACUGGCGGACUUGAGGAGUGCAGAGGUGAGUGGAAUUCUCGGUGUAGUGGUGAAAUGCGUAGAUAUCGAGAGGAACACCAGUGGCGAAGGCGGCUCACUGGGCACCACCUGACGCUGAGGCGCGAAAGCGUGGGGAGCGAACCGG
rnacentral:rRNA from 1 species